rnacentral:tRNA from 1 species
CGGGGCGUGGCGCAGUCCGGCUAGCGCGCUUGCUUUGGGAGCAAGAUGUCGGAGGUUCGAAUCCUCUCGCCCCGACCA